rnacentral:rRNA from 1 species
AAUCAACGCUGGCGGCGUGCCUCAGACAUGCAAGUCGAACGAUUAAAGCUCCCUUCGGGGAGUGCAUAGAGUGGCGCACGGGUGAGUAACACGUAAGUAAUCUACCUUCGAGUGGGGAAUAACGUCCGGAAACGGACGCUAAUACCGCAUAAUGCAGCGGCAUCGCAAGAUGACAGUUGUUAAAGAUUUAUCGCUUGAAGAGGAGCUUGCGGCAGAUUAGCUAGUUGGUAAGGUAAUGGCUUACCAAGGCUACGAUCUGUAACCGGUCUAAGAGGACGGUCGGUCACACUGACACUGAAUAACGGGUCAGACUCCUACGGGAGGCAGCAGUGGGGAAUCUUGCGCAAUGGGCGAAAGCCUGACGCAGCGACGCCGCGUGA